CAGCCUUUGACAUGUCGCGUAUGGUCGCCAGAGAUGGCUUCCUUCAGUUCGGCUGGCGCGAACACAGGUGCUGCAUGGCUGUCGUCAGCUCGUGUCGUGAGAUGUUGGGUUAAGUCCCGCAACGAGCGCAACCCUCGCCCUUAGUUGCCAUCAUUCAGUUGGGCACUCUAGGGGGACUGCCGGUGAUAAGCCGCGAGGAAGGUGGGGAUGACGUCAAGUCCUCAUGGCCCUUACAGGCUGGGCUACACACGUGCUACAAUGGCGGUGACAAUGGGAUGCGAAGGGGCGACCCUGGGCAAAUCUCAAAAAGCCGUCUCAGUUCGGAUUGUUACUCUGCAACUC
rnacentral:rRNA from 1 species